GUUUGAUAUUAACACAUAACCUUCACCAAUAAGCAUUCAGACAUGUUCUUUCUAUAUAUGUCUUCUUGGCUUUUAGGAGCCAUUUUCUAACUACUUCUUGCAGUGGCCUUACUUGCAGUGGUGGAACCUCCAUUCAUGCCCUGACCAUCACGUUUGUUACAGGUUUCUCAGUCCUAGAAGGCUACAUUUGAAUGUCAGCCCCACAUCUAUGCUCAAAAAGAAUGAUAUUAAGAGUGGAGUGAGUGGCCAGGCUGCCUAGCUACAUCUGAGCCCAUGGUCAGCAUAUUCUCAGUGCCAUUGUAUGCACAUUUGAUGUAGAUGUCUUCACAGUGUCAGUUCCUUCAACAUGGAAGAUGAGAUGAAAACAAAAGAUAAUUACAUCCUUUUUUUUCCACUCAAAUAAAGCUUUCCUUGACUCCAUCCAAAAUGCUUUUGUUCUCCAUGCUAUGUGUACACCAGUGUGUCUGGACACAUCAGACAUCCCAUGGGACUAGCAGGAGAACAAGCUGGGUGAGUCAGCAUCCUGCCUCCACAAGUGGACGCCCAAGUAAGAACAUAGGCUUAGGAAAAAUACAUAAUAAUAUUUCCUCAAAACACUUCUCAGCAUUCAACAAGCCUUUGGGCUGGGAAUUUCCCAGAUCCAACAUUCCACGCUGCCUCUCUGCAUCGCUUCUCCUUUUCCAUGUCCCUGGCAGGUGAACAAAGAGAAGGUAACAUGUACUUUUCAGGGGCUUGGGUGAUUAUUGGUUUUGCUGCUCACACUUAACAGCCACAUGUUCCCACUGGCAUUAAUUUCAGAUGAUUUCUGUUCCUUCAUGGGAUGAUCACAUCUCUCUGCAUGGGAAGUUCAGCUACUCUAAGUAACAAGCUAUGGUGCUUCUUCCAUAUGGGAAGGAUCGGAAGCAGCUUAAAUGGGGGUUUCAAAAGGAGGACUAAAAGGAUGGGUUGAAACUAGAUCUGUUUGGAACCUCCAUGAAAACAUCAGCUCAGGUUCCAACAAGCCGAAAGUUUGAACUGAGUUGCCUUCCAGGAUUUUUAGGCUGGAAAAAAAGAAAGAUGAGCAAUAGGAGAGAUGACAGAGAUUUAUAUAACCACAAAAAGCACAGAAAUGGUAAGCACAGUUUGUCUUUUCAUUGCCUAUUUAAUGCAAGAACAAGGCCUUUAGUCAAACCAAAGCAAGGAAGCUGCAAAGCAAACACAAGACUGUUCCUCGUGUAAUAUGUGGUCAAACUGUGAAAUUCCUUGCCACAGG
rnacentral:lncRNA from 1 species